UCUCCGUUGGUGAGCCAGCGGAGGGAUCAUUACAAAGUUUUCACAACUCCCAACCCUUGCGAACCGUCCCCAUUCUGUUCUCGUUGCUUCCGGCGGCGGUGACGGGGGGGCCCGAAACGGCCUCACCGCCCCGCCUGCCGGGGGCGGCGGGCCCGACGAACCUUUCUACAACAACCACCAGCAGCCGCCUGGUAAUACAAACAUAAAAAUCAUAACAUUCAACAACGGGUCCCUUGGAUCUGGCAUCGAUGAAGAUCGCAGCAGACCGGAAGAGCGCAC
rnacentral:misc_RNA from 1 species